GGGAAGUUUAAAGACAACAAGGGAGCCGCUGAUUACCCGUAUGUAGACGUAUGGGUAGACCUGGAUACCAUCAGGGGUCUCAUUGCAUGUUGUAAUUGUCAUUUUGAAAACAGGGUGAUUCAUAUCAGAGGCUUCUUCAGGUGCCAAAAGCACAGGCAUAUAUGUCAAAGGAAGUUGGUUGUCAAGCUGCAGAUGGCCAAGUAUCAGCUUGAACCUGCUUGUGGUCCCACUAUCAUAGCCAGUUGAAUAAGAUACAAAAACCCUCUCCAGGUAAAAGUACGCAAGCUCUUUUGGUCUAUGGUCCACAAGAGAAACACCAACGACUCCCAGUUCAACAAUGAGCUCCAAAGGAGCUGCAGUUUCCUUUUCUGUGGUUGGCAUGUUGGCACUCUUCCAAUUUUCAAAACUUGCCAUAGAUCUACUAAGCCCAUCUGUAUGUGAACCUGUUGCCACGUCAUCCACAAACCUAGCAACCUUGAUGUUACCCAUUUCUACAACAUGAAAGAGUAAUCCCGUUCCUUCACAACAUUCUGAACUAACUCCCAAUUUAUCCAUAUCAAGCUUACAUACUGUAACCUCAUUAUUGUUGUGCACCUCAGUAUCUAUAAACUUUUCACCAUACGGAUCCACCCAUGAGAAUUUGGUGCUUGCACGAGGCUCUAACCGGAUCCAAUCAUCAGUAUUCAAACCAGACUGGCGAAUUCUAACAACUUUACUAGCUGUUCUGUUUUCAAUCCUGUCGAACAUAAUUUUUCCACAAGUAAGACGGACAGAAGCAUGGAAAUAAGUACAAGUGAGCUUGAAUUAUUCUUCCUGUUGAUAAAUAUACAAAGUUAUACGAUGUGUGUGUACCUAAUAGGGCCAUCUCUUGGUCCACGACGGAGUACAACAAUGAAACGUGAUCCCUCUUCAUAACCUCGAAUUUCAGUCCUUAAAAUUUCCUGACUGCCAUCUUCCUUCUUCAAAACAAGAAAUAUGGUGUCUUCCUUCUCAAUUUGAACAGGAAAUGACCAUUCUGUGCCUUCAGCACGGAUCUACCAGAUAAACAAUAUGUAAGGAAUGUAUCACUAUAAUAAAUAGAUAAAACCUGCAUAAUGAAAGAAACACACACACAAAGGACCCCUACUCACCUGUAGCUUGCUAGGUUGGUCAGUCUCACGGUAAACAAAGGAGACUCGUACAUCAGAUGCUCGCAACAAUUUCGGUUCAUCCUCGCUGCUUAGCUUCAAAUAUAUAUCUUCACCAAGUCUAUUGGUGAAUGUCAUAAACGGACGCACACUGAUUACCUAAAGUGGACAAUGAAAAAGGUUUUAAGUUCUGGACAAAAUAUAAACCAACUAAANUUGGCUCAUGAAUGUUUAUCCUCCAAAUUUUGUCAGUUACCUACAAUAUUAACACCAAAACAUGAAGUAUAUAUAUAGGGAAGUUUAAAGACAACAAGGGAGCCGCUGAUUACCCGUAUGUAGACGUAUGGGUAGACCUGGAUACCAUCAGGGGUCUCAUUGCAUGUUGUAAUUGUCAUUUUGAAAACAGGGUGAUUCAUAUCAGAGGCUUCUUCAGGUGCCAAAAGCACAGGCAUAUAUGUCAAAGGAAGUUGGUUGUCAAGCUGCAGAUGGCCAAGUAUCAGCUUGAACCUGCUUGUGGUCCCACUAUCAUAGCCAGUUGAAUAAGAUACAAAAACCCUCUCCAGGUAAAAGUACGCAAGCUCUUUUGGUCUAUGGUCCACAAGAGAAACACCAACGACUCCCAGUUCAACAAUGAGCUCCAAAGGAGCUGCAGUUUCCUUUUCUGUGGUUGGCAUGUUGGCACUCUUCCAAUUUUCAAAACUUGCCAUAGAUCUACUAAGC
rnacentral:lncRNA from 1 species